UGUUGGGAGCGGUGUGUGACGUAAUGAAGGACAGGCUGGGAGACUUUCUUUGCUCGCUUCCUGCGACCAGGGGCCUGCGGUUCCUACUCUGGAUCAGUCCUAGGAACUAGAGCGGACAGGGCGAGCCCUUAUCUGGCUGAGGAGCUUCUUGGGAGCUAGUUAGCAGUCAGCGAAGUGGAAGCCCCUGGCUCGGACAUGGUGAAUGGGUGGUAGCGCGGGCGCUACUGCAACAGGCAAGGGUUAGAGAAACAUCAAACAGCUGCUGGGGGCAGUUGACUCUGACUCAGCAACUCAGGUCAGACAUUCUGACAUAUGGAGCUGCGUAGAAGCUGUGCAGAAUCUCCAGACAAUCUCCAAGAUUGCAGCUUUCGUGAGCUGACACUGAAAGGAAAAAAAA